GAUAAAACAGGUAGUUAUAGAUAUGGAUUAACCAGGUAGUUAUAGAUAAACCAGGUAGUUAUAGAUAAACCAGGUAGUUAUAGAUAAACCAGGUAGUUAUAGAUAUAGAUAAACCAGGAAGUUAUAGAUAUGGAUAAACCAGGUAGUUAUGGAUAAAACAGGUAGUUAUAGAUAUGGAUAAACCAGGUAGUUAUAGAUAUGGAUAAAACAGGUAGUUAUAGAUAUGGAUUAACCAGGUAGUUAUAGAUAAACCAGGUAGUUAUAGAUAUUGAUAAACCAGGCAGUUAUAGAUAAACCAGGUAGUUAUAGAUAUGGAUAAACCAGGUAGUGAUGGUUUAUCC
rnacentral:lncRNA from 13 species